AAAACAAAAGAUAGUGUAUACAUUUUAAUACUUUUUUGAUACCACAUUAUGCAGAUUUGAUAUCAUGUUAAAAAAAACUUUUUUUUUUUUUUUGUGGUAGCAGUGUCACUCCAGUUUAUUGUGUUCAUGAGUUGCUUCUAGAGAACAUUUUUCUCCUACUUGCUUUUCUUAGGAAAGUGAGAAUUCUAUUUACCUACUGUUUAUCAGUCUAGUAAAUGAGUGAGUAGAUGAGUGAAUGUUCAAAGAUAGGAUAUAG
rnacentral:lncRNA from 1 species